rnacentral:rRNA from 1 species
AGUGAACGCUGGCGGUAGGCCUAACACAUGCAAGUCGAACGGCAGCACAGGAGAGCUUGCUCUCUGGGUGGCGAGUGGCGGACGGGUGAGGAAUACAUCGGAAUCUACUUUUUCGUGAGGGAUAACGUAGGGAAACUUACGCUAAUACCGCAUACGACCUACGGGUGAAAGUAGGGGACCUUCGGGCCUUGCGCGAUUGCAUGAGCCGCUGUCGGAUUAGCCAGUUGGCGAGGUAAAGGCCCACCAAGGCAACGAUCCGUAGCUGGUCUGAGAGGAUGAUCAGCAACACUGGAACUGGAACACGGUCCAGACUCCUACGGGAGGCAGCAGUGGGGAAUAUUGGACAAUGGGCGCAAGCCUGAUCCAGCCAUACCGCGUGGGUGAAGAAGGCCUUCGGGUUGUAAAGCCCUUUUGUUCGGAAAGAAAUCCAGCUGGCUAAUACCCGGUUGGGAUGACGGUACCCAAAGAAUAAGCACCGGCUAACUUCGUGCCAGCCGCCGCCGUAA